UAUUCUCUCCCCCAACUUAAUUGAUAUUAUCCUCAAUGGAGUAGAAAAAAUGAAGGGUGGAUACAAAGAGCAAGAAAAAGAGAGAUGUCACCUGAUCCAGAAGUCUUUUCAAAAUUGAUUCUCUUCCCAACUUAGCCAAUAUUAUCUUCAGAUUCCUACAAAAGACUCAAUAAAAUGCAAAAGAAAAUAAAAAGCAAAAGCUAGGUUGCCUCC
rnacentral:lncRNA from 1 species